AAUGAACGCUGGCGGCAGGCCUAACGCAUGCAAGUCGAACGGAUCCUUCGGGAUUAGUGGCGGACGGGUGAGUAACGCGUGGGAACAUACCCUUUGGUACGGAAUAGCCUCGGGAAACUGGGAGUAAUACCGUAUGUGGUCGAGAGACGAAAGAUUUAUCGCCAAAGGAUUGGCCCGCGUUGGAUUAGGUAGUUGGUGGGGUAAUGGCCUACCAAGCCGACGAUCCAUAGCUGGUUUGAGAGGAUGAUCAGCCACACUGGGACUGAGGCACGGCCCAGACUCCUACGGGAGGCAGCCGUGGGGAAUCUUAGACAAUGUGGGAAACCCUGAUCUAGCCAUGCCGCGUGAUCGAUGAAGGCCUUAGGGUUGUAAAGAUCUUUCAGGUGGGAAGAUAAUGACUGUACCACCAGAAGAAGCCCCGGCUAACUCCGUGCCAGCCGCCGCAGUAA
rnacentral:rRNA from 1 species